rnacentral:rRNA from 1 species
UCGAGAAUCUUUCGCAAUGGGCGCAAGCCUGACGAAGCGACGCCGUGUGAGCGAAGAAGGCCUUCGGGUUGUAAAGCUCUUUCGCUAGGGAACAAGAGAUAUGGGACAAUACCCCAUAAAUUUGAUGGUACUUGGUAAAGAAGCACCGGCUAACUCCGUGCCAGCAGCUGCGGUAAUACGGAGGGUGCAAGCAUUGAUCGGAAUUACUGGGCGUAAAGGGCGCGUAGGCGGCUCGAUAAGUCGGAUGUGAAAUUCCGGGGGCUCAACCCCGGAGCGGCAUUUGAAACUGUCGAACUAGAGUACAGUUAGGGUAAACGGAAUUCCACGUGUAGCGGUGAAAUGCGUAGAUAUGUGGAAGAACACCGGUGGUGAAGACGGUUUACUGGGCUGUAACUGACGCUGAGGCGCGAAAGCAUGGGGAGCAAACAGGAUUAGAUACCCCAGUAGUCCCUGAGCGGGCUGGCAAGGCGCAU